ACACCUCAGUCAUGUCAACUGACAUAAGAACUCGGUCACAUCGUCGCAACAAUCAAAAUGCGCAUAUUUUCGGCCAGCGGUUAAUUACUGUCUGUUGAUGGUCACUGUAGCGUGCACGAGGAAAUGUAUCACUUUACAAGUAGCUGCUCGGCUAGCGAGGUAUUCGAGCUGUCAUCGAUUUAUAAUGUGUAAAGACACCACGUAGUGACAAAAUCUCACACGCAAGGCGCUUGCUACUGGGUCAUCACUUUUUGUAGUCACCAACACCAUUGGAAAAGCGUUCGCCCAUCCAGGGUCGAGUACAGCGCUCUGACACAAGUAAAGUGGCAUUGAAAUAGGUUUGCCGCUACCCGACCCUGAUGUGAUUUCACGAAAAAACUUCCACAUACCGCCUGUUACUCAUUGAAGUGAAUGCAGUAGUAAAAAUGCCUGUCCAAGUGCAAUUUACAUCGCAAAUCACACAUGUAGUCACACUGUUCCGGGCAAUCACAGAUACCGAGACAUAAUAUGCUCCUGAAUUUGAAAAAUGAAAAAAAUGGAAAAACAACUUACUAUAUGAGAUUCUAUACAAUUGAAAUAUAAUAAAGAAAAUGUAGACUUCUACGUCCGCUUGUCUGUCGUGAUUUACUUCAUAUGAUCGGUCAAAGCCGUUAUGGGGAGCAUUUAAACGGUUGUUGUCGCCACUUGAAAAUAGGUACGUACAGUAGUAUUUGACGCGAUAUUUAAAAACCAAGUGAAUUGGCGAGGGUGCAAAGAAGCAUUGUAAUGCACAUCGACGGUGCACUGCUUCUUUUGUUGUAACGGUCUCUUCAAAGGAGCAGGCAAGUCAACGUUUCUGUGCCACUCUGUUGUGUAAUUAGAAAAUAUUUAAUCCUGUGUUUCUUCGCGCAGGAAGGACAAAGGAUAAGGAGGAGAACAAAUCUUGAUGUUUUACCUACUUUCCGGAAGGACGACGACUUAACAUUCUCUUCCAUAGGAUUCGCAAGAACGACGCAACAUGCCAUACAGCCAACGAAACAACCGAUGUUCUGCGAACAAUCUUCGGAAAUCGAAUAAUCAGCUGAAAUGGUGAUGUGACUUGGCCUCCGAGAAGCUGCGAAUUGAAGCAGUUUGAUUUCUUUGGGGAGCGGUUAAAGAUAAAUGUUACGCCAACCAUACGGAAACAAUUGAAGACCUCAAGCGCGUAAUUCAAGUUGCUGUUGAUGAUUUGAGGCCAGAAACAAUUGAAAAUAUACCUAAAAAUUGAGUUGAUCGAAUUGGCUACUGCCAAGCUAGUCGUAGGUCUCAUUUGAACGAAAUCAUUUUUCAUAAAAAAAUUCAUGAAUCAACCUUUCUAAUA